UGGUAGAGCGCUUCGUUUACACCGAAGAUGUCGGGGGUUCGAGUCCCUCACGAC
rnacentral:tRNA from 1 species